UACGUAGGGGGCUAGCGUUGUCCGGAAUCAUUGGGCGUAAAGCGCACGUAGGCGGAUCGUUAAGUCGGGGGUGAAAUCCUGGGGCUCAACCCCAGAACUGCCUUCGAUACUGGCGAUCUAGAGUCCGGAAGAGGUGAGUGGAACUCCUAGUGUAGAGGUGGAAUUCGUAGAUAUUAGGAAGAACACCAGUGGCGAAGGCGGCUCACUGGUCCGGUACUGACGCUGAGGUGCGAAAGCGUGGGGAGCAAACAGG
rnacentral:rRNA from 1 species